rnacentral:lncRNA from 1 species
UAGAGAGUCCUCAAUAGAGAGGCAAAAUACGACAGGCAAAUUGUGACCAUAUUUAGCAUUGAUGGAAAAGUUAAUAAGUUAUGCUAGACCAGAGCACCAACUGUAAGUCUGAAUUCUUGAGAGUGAAAGUUUCAAGAAACAUCAUUCUCAAUCACCAAUCAGUAUUUAUUCCAUUAUUUUGCUAAAGCAGAGAAAAAGCAGUGAUGCAUCUGCCGAGUCUAGAUCUGAAGUGGAAGGUGUAACAUCUCCUGCUAACACAUCCUAUUUUGACCCCUGUUCACGAGGAGGCAAGUGGUUGAUCCUGUACAGUUUAGUGUGUGAACAAAAAACUGGCGCUACUGGCAUAUUCUACACAUUAUUCAUGAAGGGUCGGUAGACUGUAAUUGUUCUGUAAACAUUCAUUGGAUGGGAAAUGGUACUACCUCCUUUUGUUUUCCUGUUGUUUUUGGUAUUAUGGGUUCUAACUAGAUCAUUUUCCGAAGAAGUUGGAAUGUAA